GGGUUGUGAGGUUAAGCGACUAAGCGUACACGGUGGAUGCCCUGGCAGUCAGAGGCGAUGAAGGACGUGCUAAUCUGCGAAAAGCGACGGCGAGGUGAUAUGAACCUUUGACCCGUCGAUGUCCGAAUGGGGAAACCCAGUGUGUUCCGACACACUAUCGUUAACUGAAUACAUAGGUUAACGAGGCGAACCGGGGGAACUGAAACAUCUAAGUACCCCGAGGAAAAGAAAUCAACCGAGAUUCCCCCAGUAGCGGCGAGCGAACGGGGAGCAGCCCGGAGUCUGAAUCAGCUUGUGUGUUAGUGGAACGGUCUGGAAAGUCCGACGGUACAGGGUGAUAGUCCCGUACACGAAAACACACUUGCUGUGAACUCGAAGAGUAGGGCGGGACACGUGGUAUCCUGUCUGAAUAUGGGGGGACCAUCCUCCAAGGCUAAAUACUCCUGACUGACCGAUAGUGAACCAGUACCGUGAGGGAAAGGCGAAAAGAACCCCGGCGAGGGGAGUGAAAAAGAACCUGAAACCGUGUACGUACAAGCAGUGGGAGCCUCUUUAUGGGGUGACUGCGUACCUUUUGUAUAAUGGGUCAGCGACUUAUAUUCUGUAGCAAGGUUAACCGUAUAGGGGAGCCGAAGGGAAACCGAGUCUUAACUGGGCGUUAAGUUGCAGGGUAUAGACCCGAAACCCGGUGAUCUAGCCAUGGGCAGGUUGAAGGUUGGGUAACACUAACUGGAGGACCGAACCGACUAAUGUUGAAAAAUUAGCGGAUGACCUGUGGCUGGGGGUGAAAGGCCAAUCAAACCGGGAGAUAGCUGGUUCUCCCCGAAAGCUAUUUAGGUAGCGCCUCGUGAACUCAUCUUCGGGGGUAGAGCACUGUUUCGGCUAGGGGGCCAUCCCGGCUUACCAACCCGAUGCAAACUACGAAUACCGAAGAAUGUUAUCACGGGAGACACACGGCGGGUGCUAACGUCCGUCGUGAAGAGGGAAACAACCCAGACCGCCAGCUAAGGUCCCAAAGUCAUGGUUAAGUGGGAAACGAUGUGGGAAGGCACAGACAGCCAGGAUGUUGGCUUAGAAGCAGCCAUCAUUUAAAGAAAGCGUAAUAGCUCACUGGUCGAGUCGGCCUGCGCGGAAGAUGUAACGGGGCUAAACCAUGCACCGAAGCUGCGGCAGCGACACUAUGUGUUGUUGGGUAGGGGAGCGUUCUGUAAGCCGUUGAAGGUGUGCUGUGAGGCAUGCUGGAGGUAUCAGAAGUGCGAAUGCUGACAUAAGUAACGAUAAAGCGGGUGAAAAGCCCGCUCGCCGGAAGACCAAGGGUUCCUGUCCAACGUUAAUCGGGGCAGGGUGAGUCGACCCCUAAGGCGAGGCCGAAAGGCGUAGUCGAUGGGAAACAGGUUAAUAUUCCUGUACUUGGUGUUACUGCGAAGGGGGGACGGAGAAGGCUAUGUCAGCCGGGCGACGGUUGUCCCGGUUUAAGCAUGUAGGCGGAGGUUCCAGGUAAAUCCGGUACCUUUUAACGCUGAGGUGUGAUGACGAGGCACUACGGUGCUGAAGUGAUAAAUGCCCUGCUUCCAGGAAAAGCCUCUAAGCAUCAGGUAACACGAAAUCGUACCCCAAACCGACACAGGUGGUCAGGUAGAGAAUACCAAGGCGCUUGAGAGAACUCGGGUGAAGGAACUAGGCAAAAUGGUGCCGUAACUUCGGGAGAAGGCACGCUGAUAUGUAGGUGAAGCCCCUGCGGGCGGAGCUGAAAUCAGUCGAAGAUACCAGCUGGCUGCAACUGUUUAUUAAAAACACAGCACUGUGCAAACACGAAAGUGGACGUAUACGGUGUGACGCCUGCCCGGUGCCGGAAGGUUAAUUGAUGGGGUUAGCGGCAACGCGAAGCUCUUGAUCGAAGCCCCGGUAAACGGCGGCCGUAACUAUAACGGUCCUAAGGUAGCGAAAUUCCUUGUCGGGUAAGUUCCGACCUGCACGAAUGGCGUAAUGAUGGCCAGGCUGUCUCCACCCGAGACUCAGUGAAAUUGAACUCGCUGUGAAGAUGCAGUGUACCCGCGGCAAGACGGAAAGACCCCGUGAACCUUUACUAUAGCUUGACACUGAACACUGGUCCUUGAUGUGUAGGAUAGGUGGGAGGCUUUGAAGCGUGGACGCCAGUCUGCGUGGAGCCGCCCUUGAAAUACCACCCUUUAAUGGCUGGUGUUCUAACGUAGACCCGUGAUCCGGGUUGCGGACAGUGUCUGGUGGGUAGUUUGACUGGGGCGGUCUCCUCCCAAAGAGUAACGGAGGAGCACGAAGGUUGGCUAAUCCUGGUCGGACAUCAGGAGGUUAGUGCAAUGGCAUAAGCCAGCUUGACUGCGAGCGUGACGGCGCGAGCAGGUGCGAAAGCAGGUCAUAGUGAUCCGGUGGUUCUGAAUGGAAGGGCCAUCGCUCAACGGAUAAAAGGUACUCCGGGGAUAACAGGCUGAUACCGCCCAAGAGUUCAUAUCGACGGCGGUGUUUGGCACCUCGAUGUCGGCUCAUCACAUCCUGGGGCUGAAGUAGGUCCCAAGGGUAUGGCUGUUCGCCAUUUAAAGUGGUACGCGAGCUGGGUUUAGAACGUCGUGAGACAGUUCGGUCCCUAUCUGCCGUGGGCGCUGGAGAAUUGAGGGGGGCUGCUCCUAGUACGAGAGGACCGGAGUGGACGCAUCACUGGUGUUCGGGUUGUCAUGCCAAUGGCACUGCCCGGUAGCUAAAUGCGGAAGAGAUAAGUGCUGAAAGCAUCUAAGCACGAAACUUGCCCCGAGAUGAGUUCUCCCUGAGACUUUAAGUCUCCUGAAGGAACGUUGAAGACGACGACGUUGAUAGGUCGGGUGUGUAAGCGCAGCGAUGCGUUGAGCUAACCGAUACUAAUGAACCGUGAGGCUUAACCUUACAACGCCGAAGGUGUUU
rnacentral:rRNA from 1 species